rnacentral:rRNA from 1 species
ACACUCCUGGGAGGCAGCAGUGGGGAAUAUUGCACAAUGGGCACAAGCCUGAUGCAGCCAUGCCGCGUGUAUGAAGAAGGCCUUCGGGUUGUAAAGUACUUUCAGCGGGGAGGAAGGCGAUAAGGUUAAUAACCUUGUCGAUUGACGUUACCCGCAGAAGAAGCACCGGCUAACUCCGUGCCAGCAGCCGCGGUAAUACGGAGGGUGCAAGCGUUAAUCGGAAUUACUGGGCGUAAAGCGCACGCAGGCGGUCUGUCAAGUCGGAUGUGAAAUCCCCGGGCUCAACCUGGGAACUGCAUUCGAAACUGGCAGGCUAGAGUCUUGUAGAGGGGGGUAGAAUUCCAGGUGUAGCGGUGAAAUGCGUAGAGAUCUGGAGGAAUACCGGUGGCGAAGGCGGCCCCCUGGACAAAGACUGACGCUCAGGUGCGAAAGCGUGGGGAGCAAACAGGAUUAGAAACCCCGGUAGUCCCA